CCAGAGAGGAUGCAAAGCAAAAGAACAAAUAGGAAAGCAUAGCAUGUAUGAAGACAAGGAAGGAGAAGCCAGCACAGUGAUGAGUUUAUUAUGCCUUGUCCUAGCAGACACAGAUGACAGCCCAGAGAUCCACCAGGUAUGGCCUGUGAGAUCAGGGGUGAGAGGUGGGAGGCAAGGUGGGAAUGCAUCUACUCAGCCAACAACAUGCAAGGUGCUGGGUGAUAGAGAUGCCAAGCACAGUGGGUUCAAGGUGCAGUACAGAAGACUGUCUCUAUGCAAUGAAGGUAUCAUGCUACCCAGGGACUGGCCUGUUACGCCAUUGGCUUCAGUUAACUCAUCUGUCAAAUGAGGAGUUUGGACACCAUUAUUAUCGCUAAGGCUUCUGCGAACAAGCAAAUAUGCAAGGUAAACACAGUUUCGGUUAACAUUUGCCAUUGUCAGACCUUCCUGUUUUUUAGCCCCAUUUGGAAAGGCUCCAUUGGGGUGCAAAACUAAUAAGCAUUUGGAUUGAAAAACUGUAGAAACAGCUAGCAGCCUCUAACCGGGCAACUGAAGUAGGCGUCGAGUAUGCUGGGGGACGGUCUGGGCAACAGAUUCUGAGGAAUACGAUCACCGUUCCUGGGGACCCGCCAGCAGAUGCCUCGGGGCCAGCAGAUGGCCAGGACAUCCCUUCCUGUCUGCGUCCCCGCGGGCCCAGCGACCGCCCGGGAUUCCACCCCCACUCCCUGCGGUUUGGUCUCAAGUGAGCAUAGAUCUGGCGCGUGCUCUGAGCAGCUAAGACCUUCUUCCGCCGCCAGCCAGCCGGAGGAGGGGGAGGCGGGGCUACCCGGGAAGGCUCGGCGCAGCCCCCUCCCUCCGAUAGUGAUCUCCUAAGGCCGAUUUCGGGGUGAGGUCACCGCUGCGGAGACCUCCAAGGGACUGAGGCGCUGUUUGAAGCCUCUCAGGCCUAACCAGAGCUCUAAAUAGGAGGGCAUUUAAUUGGCCUUGUAAUUUCCGAUCGAUUCCCGAAAUCAACACUCAGGGCGAGAUGGGUGCAGACGCCACAACCCCGGACCGCGCCCCCACCCCCCAGCAGAAGGCGGGGGUCCCGCCAGCCUCCACGAGCUGACCUCUCCCGGCCCAGAGAAUCGCGG
rnacentral:lncRNA from 1 species